ACUUAAAUAUUUUAAUUAAAAUAUCAGCUUGUGGGUCUGUAGAUGUAAUGAUUUACUUUAAGUU
rnacentral:tRNA from 1 species